rnacentral:rRNA from 1 species
AGAGGGUGCAAGCGUUAAUCGGAAUUACUGGGCGUAAAGGGUGCGUAGGUGGUAUGUUAAGUCAGAUGUGAAAGCCCUGGGCUCAACCUUGGAACUGCAUUUGAAACUAGCAAACUAGAGUAUGGUAGAGGGAAGUGGAAUUUCCGGUGUAGCGGUGAAAUGCGUAGAUAUCGGAAGGAACACCAGUGGCGAAGGCGACUUCCUGGACCAUAACUGACGCUGAGGCACGAAAGCGUGGGGAGCAAACAGGAUUAGAUACCCUGGUAGUCCACGCUGUAAACGAUGAGAACUAGAUGUUAGGGUGCUUGCACUUUAGUAUCGUAGCUAACGCGUUAAGUUCUCCGCCUGGGAGUACGGCCGCAAGGUUA